rnacentral:rRNA from 1 species
CCGGCGGGCCCCGGUAAUUCCAGCUCCAAUAGCGUAUAUUUAAGUUGUUGCAGUUAAAAAGCUCGUAGUUGGAUUUCCGGGUGGGACGCAGCGGUCUCGCAUUGCGUUUGUACUGCUGCAGCCCUCCUUCUUGCCGGGGGCGGCCCAUCGGACUUCACUGUCUGGGGGUCAGAAUCGGCGAUGUUACUUUGAGUAAAUUAGAGUGUUCAAAGCAAGCUUACGCUCUGAAUAUAAUAGCAUGGGAUAACACGACAGGACUCUGGCCUAUCGUGUUGGUCUAUAGGACCAGAGUAAUGAUUAAGAGGGACAGUCGGGGGCAUUCGUAUUCCGUUGUCAGAGGUGAAAUUCUUGGAUUUACGGAAGACGAACAUCUGCGAAAGCAUUUGCCAAGGAUGUUUUCAUUGAUCAAGAACGAAAGUUGGGGGCUCGAAGACGAUUAGAUACCGUCGUAGUCUCAACCAUAAACGAUGCCGACUAGGGAUUGGCGGGUGUUUUUUUGAUGACUCCGCCAGCACCUCAUGAGAAAUCAAAGUUUUUGGGUUCCGGGGGGAGUAUGGUCGCAAGGCUGAAACUUAAAGGAAUUGACGGAAGGGCACCACCAGGCGUGGAGCCUGCGGCUUAAUUUGACUCAACACCCGGG